rnacentral:rRNA from 1 species
UGAAACAACGCACUAAAGUACAUAAAAGCAGAGACUACGCCUCGUACCUUUUGCAUCAUGAUCUAGCCAGUAACCUCAAGCAAAGAGACCUCUAGUUUGAACCCCCGAAACCGGACGAGCUACUCCGGGGCAGCCUAUUAUAGGGCCAACCCGUCUCUGUGGCAAAAGAGUGGGAAGACCCCCGAGUAGAGGUGAAAGACCUACCGAGUCAGGUUAUAGCUGGUUGCCCAAGAAAUGAAUAGAAGUUCAGCCCCGCCGCGCCCUCGCCCACAACAGUUUUACUUAAACAAGGCACAAAGGACACCCGCGGGAGUUAGUCAAGGGAGGUACAGCUCCCUUAACAAAGGACACAACCUUAAACAGGAGGCUAAGGAAUAAAUUAAACUAAGGCCCUAGGUUUCAGUGGGCCUAAAAGCAGCCAUCUGAACAGAAAGCGUUAAAGCUCAGACCAGUCCAAGCCUAUUAUAACAUUAAAAUCUCCAAAGCCCCUAGUAUUACUGGGCCAUCCUAUGCCCCCAUAGGAGCGACCAUGCUAGAACGAGUAAUAAGAAGAAAGACCUUCUCCCAGCACAUGUGUAAGUCGAAUCGGACACCCCAUCGACAAUUAACGAACCCAGUAAAAGAGGGAAAUGCACCGUCGCCACCCCAGGCCAAGAAGACCAUGCAAUAAAAUAUCGUUACCCCCACACAGGUGUGCUUAGCCCAAGGGAAAGACUUAAAGGAUAAAAAGGAACUCGGCAAACCAAAACCCCGCCUGUUUACCAAAAACAUCGCCUCCUGCCACCACUAAUUAUAGGAGGUCCCGCCUGCCCUGUGACCAAAAGUUUAACGGCCGCGGUAUUUUAACCGUGCAAAGGUAGCGCAAUCAAUUGUCUUUUAAAUGGAGACCUGUAUGAAUGGCAUAACGAGGGUUUAACUGUCUCUUUUUCCCAGUCAAUGAAACUGAUCUGCCCGUGCAGAAGCGGGUAUAUAUACACAAGACGAGAAGACCCUAUGGAGCUUUAGACGCCAACCAACCACGAAAAGCGACCACUGACUGGAUCCUCAAACAACGUGAUUAUGGCACAAGCGUCUUCGGUUGGGGCGACCACGGGAGAUAACAAAGCUCCCGAGUGGAUAGGGGGACACCCUAAAACCCAGAGCCACAGCUCUAAGUCACAAAAUAUUUGACCAAUAAUGAUCCGGCUUUAUGCCGACCAACGGACCAAGUUACCCUAGGGAUAACAGCGCAAUCCCCUCCCAGAGUCCAUAUCGACGAGGGGGUUUACGACCUCGAUGUUGGAUCAGGACAUCCUAAUGGUGCAGCCGCUAUUAA